UCAGCGUCAUGCAUGCUCGAGCUCAUGCUACCAAGUGUGAGAUUAAAUGGAGUGGUAGGAACCAGGAAGGAGCAGGGACAACCGCCGGUGAAGAGGUGGAACAAGUUAACAGCUACCUCUCUCGUUGUGCCCUUACGACAAAAUAUAUGUCGAAAGCAGCCCGGUUGGACAUGCUCACAUUGCAUGCAAUGUUGUGGAACCAGAAGAAAGGGGAUUCCUUACACCAGGCACUUUUUUUGUCCUUUGUUUUUAUCAUUUGAGCUGUUGUUAAUCCUACAGACUUUAUCCUGAUUACUGUGUUACACUGUUUAUCAGACUUGUCAGAGGCUCCUGGAUGAGACUGCAAUGCUAGCAGAGCUAAAAACCCAGCUACAUCUCUCAGAUGAAAUGGUGUCACAGUGGAUCUCAGAUGUGAUGGAAUGGGCAGCUGGUGAGACACGAGAUGCAUCUGACAACCUGCAAGGCACCACACACACAGGGCUUCAGCGGUCCAUUGAGGGGCUCUACCUCAGUGUGAGGCAGCGGAAGCUAAAUCUACAGCAACAAGCUUCGCCACCGGCUUCGGAGGAAGCUGGCAGAAGAGAAAAAGCUCAUUUUUCAGGAGAUACAAAAGCACAACAAGCUUGACUCUGCAGCCAACAUCGAUGCAGCUGUGGUGGAGCACUCCCUGAGUGGAGAGAGCACUGUGUCCCCAAUAUGGCCUUGGGAGGUUCAUGACAGCGCAAACAUUGGAACCAAGAAACGGCUUCAUG
ensembl:lncRNA